UAUAUAUAUAUAUAUAUAUAUAUUAUUUUUCUCCGAACUAUGAGACUAUUAAUCAAACUUUGAAGUUUUUAGUCAACUGAUUAGCUAUUUUUAUAGAUAAUUUACAAAUUAUAAUAUUAUAUAUUCAAAACCUUAUAUUAUUGUUCUGCUCAUCUUCUUUAGAGACAACUGAGAGAAGCCACUCAAAGAGCGCAACAAAAUGAAUUAAGUUAUUUUCAUUUACAAAAAAUUGAUAUCAAUGUAUGAUUAAAUCAGUAAGACAAAUGAGUGCAAUAUUAAUUAAUUAAUUAAUUAUCAAACUUAUUUAAUAUUAUUUUAUCUUAUAGUAAUAUUGUUAA
rnacentral:lncRNA from 1 species